rnacentral:miRNA from 7 species
CUUUUCAGUGGUGCCCAGUGCCAGGACAAGAGGCAUUGGGCACAAACUGGAGCACAAGAGGCUCCAUCUGAACAUCAGG